UUGAGCCACUACGCCCAGCCUUUAUUUUUUAUUUUUAAUUUUAGAUUCAGAAGAGAAGAAAGCAGACGAUGGAAUCUCUCCGAGUGAUGACAGACGGGGCUACUGGGUGACAAGUGGUGAAGCAUCCAGGAGCCAGCAGCUGCCAGUGGUCCCCUUUACCCAUGAGAAAUUGUGAAAAUAAUAAUAUAUGAAAAUCUGAAUUUUUGCCGUAUUUGUUUGAUAUCGAAAAUGAGAAAAAAGGCAAGAUGACCAGAAGCUACUGACAGAAAAAAAAUUAAGAAGCAGCACCAUUAGUGGAAGCCAACAAGCCUUUCCAUUGCUCCUGGGGAGCUGGUCCCAGAGAAGCCUACUAACUAGAUGGGAGGCAAGCAGCUGUGAGCUGUCUCUUUUAGCACCUGACUUUCCUGGCUUGGCUAAGGUA
rnacentral:lncRNA from 10 species